rnacentral:rRNA from 1 species
CACGUAGGGGGCAAGCGUUGUCCGGAAUUAUUGGGCGUAAAGAGCUCGUAGGCGGCUCGGUAAGUCAGGUGUCAAAUCCGUCAGGCUCAACCUGGGGCUCCACCUGAUACUGCUGUGGCUAGAGUCCGGUAGGGGAGCGUGGAAUUCCUGGUGUAGCGGUGAAAUGCGCAGAUAUCAGGAGGAACACCAGCGGCGAAGGCGGCGCUCUGGGCCGGAACUGACGCUGAGGAGCGAAAGCGUGGGUAGCAAACAGG